rnacentral:rRNA from 1 species
CGCCAGGGAACUACGAGCCCAGCUUGAAACCCAAAGGACUUGGCGGUGUCUCAGACCCACCUAGAGGAGCCUGUUCUAGAACCGAUAAACCCCGUUAAACCUCACCACUUCUUGCUUAUUCCGCCUAUAUACCGCCGUCGUCAGCUUACCCCGUGAGGUCUCAACAGUAAGCAAAAUGAGUAGAACCCAAAACGUCAGGUCGAGGUGUAGCAUACGAAGUGGGAAGAAAUGGGCUACAUUUUCUAACACAGAAAACUACGGAUGUUGUACUGAAACGUACUGUUGAAGGUGGAUUUAGAAGUAAAAAGCAAAUAGAGAGUCCUUUUGAACCAGGCUCUGAGAUACGC